AGGUUAAGUUAACAAGGGCGCAUGGUGAAUGCCUUGGCACUAGGAGCCGAUGAAGGACGGGACUAACACCGAUAUGCUUCGGGGAGCUGUACGUAAGCUAUGAUCCGGAGAUUUCCGAAUGGGGCAACCCAGCAGUUUUAAUUAACUGUUACCACUAGAUGAAUUCAUAGUCUAGUUGGAGGUAAACGCUGUGAACUGAAACAUCUCAUUAGCAGCAGGAAUAUAAAGAAAUUUCGAUUCCCUAAGUAGCGGCGAGCGAACGGGGAACAGCCCAAACCAAAGUGCUUGCACUUUGGGGUUGUAGGACUGAACAUUUGAGUUACCAAAGAACUUGAUAGUCGAAGGAUUUGGGAAAAUCCGCCAUAGAUGGUGAUAGCCCAGUAGAUUAAAUCAAAUUCUCUCAGUUCAGGAUCCUGAGUACGGCGGAACACGUGAAAUUCCGUCGGAAUCCGGGAGGACCAUCUCCCAAGGCUAAAUACUACCUAGUGACCGAUAGUGAACCAGUACCGUGAGGGAAAGGUGAAAAGCACCCCGGGAGGGGAGUGAAAUAGUUCCUGAAACCAUGUGCCUACAAUAAGUCAGAGCGCGUUAAUGCGUGAUGGCGUGCCUUUUGUAGAAUGAACCGGCGAGUUAUGAUCCCGUGCAAGGUUAAGACUAAAAAGUCGGAGCCGUAGCGAAAGCGAGUCUGAAAUGGGCGUUUUGAGUACGAGGUUAUAGACCCGAAACCAGGUGACCUAUCCAUGUCCAGGUUGAAGGUGCGGUAAAACGCACUGGAGGACCGAACCCGUGUAAGUUGAAAAUUGCUGGGAUGAGGUGUGGAUAGCGGUGAAAUUCCAAACGAACUUGGAGAUAGCUGGUUCUCUCCGAAAUAGCUUUAGGGCUAGCCUCGGAAUUAGGAUCAUGGAGGUAGAGCACUAUUUGGACUAGGGGCCCGUCUUGGGUUACUGAAUUCAGAUAAACUCCGAAUGCCAUUGAUUCAUAUCCGGGAGUCAGACGAUGAGUGAUAAGAUCCACCGUCGAAAGGGGAACAGCCCAGACCAUCAGUUAAGGUCCCUAAAUGUAUGCUAAGUGGAAAAGGAUGUGGAGUUGCAUAGACAACUAGGAUGUUGGCUCAGAAGCAGCCACCAUUUAAAGAGUGCGUAAUAGCUCACUAGUCGAGUGAUCCUGCGCCGAAAAUGUACCGGGGCUAAGCAUACUACCGAAACCAUGGAUGCGACCAUUAGGUCGCGUGAUAGGAGAGCGUUCUAAGGGCGGUGAAGCAAGAUCGUGAGGACUUGUGGAGCGCUUAGAAGUGAGAAUGCCGGUAUGAGUAGCGAAAGAUAGGUGAGAAUCCUAUCCACCGAAUGACUAAGGUUUCCUGGGGAAGGCUCGUCCUCCCAGGGUUAGUCGGGACCUAAGUCGAGGCCGAGAGGCGUAGACGAUGGAUAACAGGUUGAGAUUCCUGUACUAGUUAAGUGCGUUUGAGCAAUGGAGGGACGCAGGAGGCUAAGAUGUGCAUUCUGUUGGAUUAGAAUGUCCAAGCAGUAAGUCUUGUGAAGAGUCAAAUGCUUUUCACUUUAAGGACAAGCUGUGAUGGGGAGCGAAAUUUAGUAGCGAAGCGUCUGAUGUCACACUGCCGAGAAAAGCUUCUAGUGAGUACUUAACUACCCGUACCGCAAACCGACACAGGUAGUCGAGGAGAGAAUCCUAAGGUGAGCGAGUGAACUCUCGUUAAGGAACUCGGCAAAAUGACCCCGUAACUUCGGGAGAAGGGGUGCUGAUCGCAAGAUCAGCCGCAGUGAAUAGGCCCAGGCGACUGUUUAUCAAAAACACAGGUCUCUGCAAAAUCGUAAGAUGACGUAUAGGGGCUGACGCCUGCCCGGUGCUGGAAGGUUAAAAGGAUGGGUUAGCUUCGGCGAAGCUCAGAAUUGAAGCCCCAGUAAACGGCGGCCGUAACUAUAACGGUCCUAAGGUAGCGAAAUUCCUUGUCGGGUAAGUUCCGACCCGCACGAAAGGCGUAACGAUCUGGGCACUGUCUCAACGAGAGACUCGGUGAAAUUAUAUUGUCCGUGAAGAUGCGGACUACCCGCGACAGGACGGAAAGACCCCAUGGAGCUUUACUGUAGCUUGAUAUUGAGUGUUUGUACAGCUUGUACAGGAUAGGUAGGAGCCAUAGAAACCGGAACGCUAGUUUCGGUGGAGGCGUUGGUGGGAUACUACCCUCGCUGUAUGACCACUCUAACCCGCACCACUAAUCGUGGUGGGAGACAGUGUCAGGUGGGCAGUUUGACUGGGGCGGUCGCCUCCUAAAAAGUAACGGAGGCGCCCAAAGGUUCCCUCAGAAUGGUUGGAAAUCAUUCGCAGAGUGUAAAGGCACAAGGGAGCUUGACUGCGAGACAGACAGGUCGAGCAGGGACGAAAGUCGGGCUUAGUGAUCCGGUGGUACCGUAUGGAAGGGCCAUCGCUCAACGGAUAAAAGCUACCCUGGGGAUAACAGGCUUAUCUCCCCCAAGAGUCCACAUCGACGGGGAGGUUUGGCACCUCGAUGUCGGCUCAUCGCAUCCUGGGGCUGUAGUCGGUCCCAAGGGUUGGGCUGUUCGCCCAUUAAAGCGGUACGCGAGCUGGGUUCAGAACGUCGUGAGACAGUUCGGUCCCUAUCCGUCGCGGGCGUAGGAAAUUUGAGAGGACCUGUCCUUAGUACGAGAGGACCGGGAUGGACAUACCUCUGGUGUACCAGUUGUGCCGCCAGGCGCAUCGCUGGGUAGCUACGUAUGGAUGUGAUAAACGCUGAAAGCAUCUAAGUGUGAAACACACCUCGAGAUGAGAUUUCCCAUUCCUUUAUGGAAGUAAGACCCCUGAAAGAUGAUCAGGUAGAUAGGUUAGAAGUGGCAGUGCGGUGACGCAUGAAGCGGACUAAUACUAAUCGGUCGAGGACUUAACCAAG
rnacentral:rRNA from 1 species